rnacentral:lncRNA from 1 species
UCUACAAAAACGGUAGAAAAACCCAGGUUUGGUGCGGGGAGUGGGGGCAUUGUAAUUACGUCUCCAAAUGCUAACAGCUGUGGCAGCGCAUGCUCUCUUAGCCUCUGAAGAGGUCUCUGGGCGCUCACACUUGAAAAACCAUGAGGUUGGAACAAUCAUGUUAAUGCGCCUUUUUGGUUUUGGUGAAAAUUUCAGACAGUGUGACAUUAAUUAUUUGUCUUUGCACAGAAUGAUGAUGCUAAAGCCAGCCCCAUACAGUCCUGAUGCUCAGUACUUCCAGCAUGGGCUCUGUCCACCCUGCUCUCUGGGUCUACAUCCAGCCCUUCAGUUUUCACUAGGCAAAUCUGAGGUGAGUCAACUGAGUUUGCAAAAUGUGCUUAUUAGCAGGUGUGGGAUGUUCUACUACCUUCUUCAGAGCCACAGCAUUCCUGUUCCUUCCCACAUCAUUUCACUAAGGGUCUGACCAACUCAUCUCCCAACCAUUCAAGACACAGGAGAAUUAACUGCAGGCCUUC